UUUUGAACGCAUCUUGCACCCAAUGGUAUUCCGUUGGGUAUGCCUGUCUGAGUGUCCUUUUCAUCUCAGUAAACUAUUUUGGUGUGAAUCAAGAUAGAGAACUGGAACAUGAGUGAUGGUUUUCGCCGUAAAACCCACUUAGAAUCAAUCAAGUUGACCAUUCAUGAACGGUUUGACUGGGUGUUGUAAUUCGCCUCACUCGGGACGCUCUAUGGUCAAUAACUAAACACAGAACAAGCGAUGUUGACCUCAGAUCAGGUAGGAUUACCCGCUGAACUUAA
rnacentral:misc_RNA from 1 species